rnacentral:rRNA from 1 species
UACAGAGGUGGCAAGCGUUGUUCGGAAUUACUGGGCGUAAAGAGCGCGCAGGCGGCUUGGCAAGUCGGGUGUGAAAUCCCGGGGCUCAACCCCGUGACUGCAUCCGAUACUGUCAGGCUAGAGGUAGGUAGGGGAGAUCGGAAUUCCUGGUGUAGUGGUGAAAUGCGCAGAUAUCAGGAGGAACACCGGUGGCGAAGGCGGAUCUCUGGGCCUUACCUGACGCUCAGGCGCGAAAGCUAGGGGAGCGAACAGG